rnacentral:rRNA from 1 species
UACAGAGGUCCCAAGCGUUGUUCGGAUUCACUGGGCGUAAAGGGCGCGUAGGCGGCCUCCUAAGUCAGACGUGAAAUCCCCCGGCUUAACCUGGGAACUGCGUCUGAUACUGGGAGGCUAGAGUGCGGGAGAGGGAUGCGGAAUUCCAGGUGUAGCGGUGAAAUGCGUAGAUAUCUGGAGGAACACCGGUGGCGAAGGCGGCAUCCUGGACCGACACUGACGCUGAGGAGCGAAAGCAUGGGGAGCGAACAGG